rnacentral:rRNA from 1 species
GGUUAAGCGACUAAGCGUACACGGUGGAUGCCCUGGCAGUCAGAGGCGAUGAAGGGCGUGCUAAUCUGCGAUAAGCGCCGGUAAGGUGAUAUGAACCGUUAUAACCGGCGAUACCCGAAUGGGGAAACCCAGUGUGAUUCGUCACACUAUCAUUAACUGAAUCCAUAGGUUAAUGAGGCGAACCGGGGGAACUGAAACAUCUAAGUACCCCGAGGAAAAGAAAUCAACCGAGAUUCCCCCAGUAGCGGCGAGCGAACGGGGAGGAGCCCAGAGCCUGAAUCAGCAUGUGUGUUAGUGGAAGCGUCUGGAAAGGCGCGCGAUACAGGGUGACAGCCCCGUACACAAAAGCGCAUGUGCUGUGAGCUCGAUGAGUAGGGCGGGACACGUGGUAUCCUGUCUGAAUAUGGGGGGACCAUCCUCCAAGGCUAAAUACUCCUGACUGACCGAUAGUGAACCAGUACCGUGAGGGAAAGGCGAAAAGAACCCCGGCGAGGGGAGUGAAAAAGAACCUGAAAUCGUGUACGUACAAGCAGUGGGAGCACAGGUUUACCUGUGUGACUGCGUACCUUUUGUAUAAUGGGUCAGCGACUUAUAUUCUGUAGCAAGGUUAACCGAAUAGGGGAGCCGGAGGGAAACCGAGUCUUAAUUGGGCGUUAAGUUGCAGGGUAUAGACCCGAAACCCGGUGAUCUAGCCAUGGGCAGGUUGAAGGUUGGGUAACACUAACUGGAGGACCGAACCGACUAAUGUUGAAAAAUUAGCGGAUGACCUGUGGCUGGGGGUGAAAGGCCAAUCAAACCGGGAGAUAGCUGGUUCUCCCCGAAAGCUAUUUAGGUAGCGCCUCGUGAAUUCAUCUCCGGGGGUAGAGCACUGUUUCGGCUAGGGGGCCAUCCCGGCUUACCAACCCGAUGCAAACUGCGAAUACCGGAGAAUGUUAUCACGGGAGACACACGGCGGGUGCUAACGUCCGUCGUGAAGAGGGAAACAACCCAGACCGCCAGCUAAGGUCCCAAAGUCAUGGUUAAGUGGGAAACGAUGUGGGAAGGCCCAGACAGCCAGGAUGUUGGCUUAGAAGCAGCCAUCAUUUAAAGAAAGCGUAAUAGCUCACUGGUCGAGUCGGCCUGCGCGGAAGAUGUAACGGGGCUAAACCAUGCACCGAAGCUGCGGCAGCGACGCUUAUGCGUUGUUGGGUAGGGGAGCGUUCUGUAAGCCUGUGAAGGUGGCCUGUGAGGGUUGCUGGAGGUAUCAGAAGUGCGAAUGCUGACAUAAGUAACGAUAAAGCGGGUGAAAAGCCCGCUCGCCGGAAGACCAAGGGUUCCUGUCCAACGUUAAUCGGGGCAGGGUGAGUCGACCCCUAAGGCGAGGCCGAAAGGCGUAGUCGAUGGGAAACGGGUUAAUAUUCCCGUACUUGGUGUUACUGCGGGGGGACGGAGAAGGCUAUGUUGGCCGGGCGACGGUUGCCCCGGUUUAAGCGUGUAGGUGUGUGUUCCAGGUAAAUCCGGUUCACUUUAACACUGAGGCGUGAUGACGAGGCACUACGGUGCUGAAGUAACAAAUGCCCUGCUUCCAGGAAAAGCCUCUAAGCAUCAGGUAACAUCAAAUCGUACCCCAAACCGACACAGGUGGUCAGGUAGAGAAUACCAAGGCGCUUGAGAGAACUCGGGUGAAGGAACUAGGCAAAAUGGUGCCGUAACUUCGGGAGAAGGCACGCUGACACGUAGGUGAAGUGAUUUACUCACGGAGCUGAAGUCAGUCGAAGAUACCAGCUGGCUGCAACUGUUUAUUAAAAACACAGCACUGUGCAAACACGAAAGUGGACGUAUACGGUGUGACGCCUGCCCGGUGCCGGAAGGUUAAUUGAUGGGGUCAGCGCAAGCGAAGCUCCUGAUCGAAGCCCCGGUAAACGGCGGCCGUAACUAUAACGGUCCUAAGGUAGCGAAAUUCCUUGUCGGGUAAGUUCCGACCUGCACGAAUGGCGUAAUGAUGGCCAGGCUGUCUCCACCCGAGACUCAGUGAAAUUGAACUCGCUGUGAAGAUGCAGUGUACCCGCGGCAAGACGGAAAGACCCCGUGAACCUUUACUAUAGCUUGACACUGAACAUUGAGCCUUGAUGUGUAGGAUAGGUGGGAGGCUUUGAAGUGUGGACGCCAGUCUGCAUGGAGCCGACCUUGAAAUACCACCCUUUAAUGUUUGAUGUUCUAACGUGGACCCGUUACCCGGGUUGCGGACAGUGUCUGGUGGGUAGUUUGACUGGGGCGGUCUCCUCCUAAAGAGUAACGGAGGAGCACGAAGGUUGGCUAAUCCUGGUCGGACAUCAGGAGGUUAGUGCAAUGGCAUAAGCCAGCUUGACUGCGAGCGUGACGGCGCGAGCAGGUGCGAAAGCAGGUCAUAGUGAUCCGGUGGUUCUGAAUGGAAGGGCCAUCGCUCAACGGAUAAAAGGUACUCCGGGGAUAACAGGCUGAUACCGCCCAAGAGUUCAUAUCGACGGCGGUGUUUGGCACCUCGAUGUCGGCUCAUCACAUCCUGGGGCUGAAGUAGGUCCCAAGGGUAUGGCUGUUCGCCAUUUAAAGUGGUACGCGAGCUGGGUUUAGAACGUCGUGAGACAGUUCGGUCCCUAUCUGCCGUGGGCGCUGGAGAACUGAGGGGGCUGCUCCUAGUACGAGAGGACCGGAGUGGACGCAUCACUGGUGUUCGGGUUGUCAUGCCAAUGGCACUGCCCGGUAGCUAAAUGCGGAAGAGAUAAGUGCUGAAAGCAUCUAAGCACGAAACUUGCCCCGAGAUGAGUUCUCCCUGAGACUUAAAGUCUCCUGAAGGAACGUUGAAGACGACGACGUUGAUAGGCCGGGUGUGUAAGCGCAGCGAUGCGUUGAGCUAACCGGUACUAAUGAACCGUGAGGCUUAACCCU